AUCCAGCUGACGAGUCCCAAAUAAGGCGAAACGCGUCCUGGAU
rnacentral:hammerhead_ribozyme from 1 species